AGCGCGAGAUGCCCGUGCCUCUGCUAGACAUUGUCAUGAACCAACUUCUCAAGGAACAUGUCGGGAACCUGCCCGAGCUGUGCAUGGGCUACCUUGUGAAGAGAACCCCGAUGAUGACCUAUAUGAUGUACGACAGCAUGGCCAGGAAACUGCAUCACAACCAUGUCCUAGUGGUGCAACUGGUACAGCUGCUUCCUCACUAGACCAGGAGGCUGCAGAAGCCC